rnacentral:rRNA from 1 species
AUGGGGGAGGUUGUCGAGGUGGGCAGCCUAGAGGCAUGGACCACCUACAUGGCGGAGGCCAACAGCAACAAGAACCUGGCGGUGAUCUACUUCAGUGCAAAAUGGAGCGCACCAUCCCGCUCCAUUUCUCCAGUCUUCGAUGACCUUGCCAAGAACCACAUAGAUGUGACUUUCCUGAAAGUCGUUGUCGAGGUUGAAGACAAUAUGUCAAUUGCUGAGGAGUUCGGUGUUGAGGCCAUGCCGACCUUCCUGUUUAUGAAGGAAGGAAAGGUCGUGGACCAUCUUGUUGGAGCUUCCGAGUAUUUGCUGGAAGAGAAGAUGAAGCAACACACGGCCGCAUAG